rfam:Microgenomates bacterium GW2011_GWC1_44_23 TW48_C0003, whole genome shotgun sequence.
GGUCGCGUAGCGCAGCUGGUUAGCGCACCGCAUUCACAUUGCGGGGGUCACUGGUUCGAAUCCAGUCGCGACCA